GGUAAACCUUGUCACCAACAUGAUAAACUGGGGCCUCCUUUCUGUGCCUAUCAGCAGCUCUUUUGUAACAUUCCUGAGCCUCCGAAAGAGUCUCCUUCAACAGUUCUUGGGAAUCUCGUAAGGUGGUUAGCCGGUCAGUGACUGCAGGAAUGGGAGUAGUAAUUGGGAGACUCACUAGAAAGGUUGGAUGGUAACCAUAAUUGGCAAAAAAUGGGCUCAGAGAAGUGGAG